rnacentral:rRNA from 1 species
GAUGAACGCUGGCGGCGUGCUUAACACAUGCAAGUCGAACGGGCACAUCUUUCGGGGUGUGUUAGUGGCAGACGGGUGCGUAACACGUGGGUGACCUGCCCUAAAGUGGGGAAUAACCAUUCUAACGGAUGGCUAAUACCGCAUAGGCUCGAUGAUUCAGUUGAUCGAGUAAAGCUGCAAAGCGCUUUAGGAUGGGCCUGCGGCGGAUUAGGUAGUUGGUGGGGUAAAGGCCUACCAAGCCGAUGAUCCGUAGGGGGCGUGAGAGCGUGGCCCCCCACACUGGCACUGAGAUACGGGCCAGACUCCUACGGGAGGCUG